CCUACGGGUGGCAGCAGUGGGGAAUAUUGCACAAUGGGCGCAAGCCUGAUGCAGCCAUGCCGCGUGUGUGAAGAAGGCCUUCGGGUUGUAAAGCACUUUCAGCGGGGAGGAAGGCGUUAAGGUUAAUAACCUUGUCGAUUGACGUUACCCGCAGAAGAAGCACCGGCUAACUCCGUGCCAGCAGCCGCGGUAAUACGGAGGGUGCAAGCGUUAAUCGGAAUUACUGGGCGUAAAGCGCACGCAGGCGGUCUGUCAAGUCGGAUGUGAAAUCCUCGGGCUCAACCUGGGAACUGCAUUCGAAACUGGCAGGCUAGAGUCUUGUAGAGGGGGGUAGAAUUCCAGGUGUAGCGGUGAAAUGCGUAGAGAUCUGGAGGAAUACCGGUGGCGAAGGCGGCCCCCUGGACAAAGACUGACGCUCAGGUGCGAAAGCGUGGGGAGCAAACAGGAUUAGAUACCCGUGUAGUC
rnacentral:rRNA from 1 species